CAAGUACAGUUCAAUUCCGUUUUUGACUUUUUGUCCUCACUGUUUUCGACAGGACCUGUGUUGUUGGCUCGUGAUAAACAAUACAAAAUUCCUGAAUCGAAAUAUUUUAUCUUCUCUUAACGCCGAUACCGAUUAGUCCGUUAUAUGAAAAAGAAAGGCAUGGUAGUAUCGUCUUGUAUGUUUAUAUUAUGAAAAAUGUCCGGCAGCAGGAACACUGGGACUGUGCCCAAAACGAAGCACACCACACGAGCUAGGCGAGAAAAUUCUGUCAACCACAUACCAAACAAUCUAGAGUGGCACCAAGAGGACAGACAAAGGCGAGUCAGGAAAGAGAGUAAUAAUUACGUUUUCCACCUUCCAGACACUGUAGAUGAGUUUUCAUAUGAUUCAAGCUGGAGUUCCAGUUGGGGUCCUUCAAAUAGAACUGACGAUGAUGAAUUGAGGUGGUCAAGUGUAAAAAGCAGCAACAUUACUCCAGAGCGAGGAGGCAUGGAACAACACCAAACAAGAAAACAGCGCCAAGAAAAUCACGUUGUUGAUGAAAGGAUUGUUCCAGAAAACAUUAAGUCUCAGAUGGCAAGAGGAAGGCUAAAGAUGAAAAUAGACCAGUCAGAAAAAAAAAUAGAAGAACUUCAACAUCAGCAAGCGGCAUUAAUGACACUUCGCCAUAAGGCCAUUCAACAGGUGAAACCGGUUCAGAUGGAAGAAAUUCAUCAGUCGCCCAUAGCUUUAAGGAGUAAGGCAAUUCAACAGGUCAAACCUGUUCAAAUGGAAUCCGAAAAAAUUGCAAAAUUGAAUGAAAGAAUGGAUGACCAUAUGAUCCAGCUUCUAAAAGCGAUGGAGAAUGGAAUCGAACCACCAACAGAUCAGCAAGUAAAAAAGAAGCUUAAUGAAUUACUCGCCAAGAAAGCCCAAUGUGAUAAGAUCCUUUGUUGUCUUGAGUCUGAUGUUGUACAAGAAACUCUAGAUGGCCCGGCUAGUCCUAGUAGUGAAGAAUGUGAAAAUGGAAGAAAUGAUUAUCAUGAAAAUGAUGUUUCCCUUGGUGCUGUGGGAGGUGAAGUUGAAGAUCAUCACCAGAAUAUUGAGUCAGGACUUCAGUGGGAUGGAAGUGUUGGAACUUCGAGGAGAGAAGCAGAGAAACAAGAUAACAGGGAGAUUGACAAUAUGGCUGCUAUCUCUGCUUUUAUUGAAAAUAAAGAAAUGAAACUGGAUGAAGUCAUGACAAAAUUUGAACAACUUCAGACCUUGAUGGGACACAUGGAAAAAUUAAGAGAUCUUAAAUUAAAUCAGAGAAGUUUGCAUAGUGAGGGUCUUGCUGAUACUCAACCAGCAGAACAAUUACAAGUUCAGCAGGUACAGAGCAAAAACUGUUCUCAAUACAGUGCAGUUGAGAAACUUCAUUCAAAGAAAGUAGAUGUGGGUCUGGAGACACGGCAAAUGAACUCUUAUCCUCCAAGCACUCAAUCUACUGAUGCUCCUGUCGGCUAUCAUAAUAUGUUCGAUCCAGCAUUAGACAGUUGGCCCGCUCCCUCUUGGAACAGACCAGGACCGACUGGUAAUUCUGUAGAGUCUUCCAGUGAUGAUGGAGAAGUAGAAUAUGAUGAGAGUCCAGUUAAACUGUGUUCGAGCACUCUUCGCCAGCCUUCGAACUUUCGCAAAUUUAGGUCCUUAUUUUCCAGGCGAACUACUCAGCCGAAUGCUCCUAACAGCCUCCCACCUUCUUUUAAGCCUGCACCAAGCCCUGAACAUAGUCAACAUCAAAAUGUUUCUGAGUCGAGGGUUCAGCAGAGAAUACAACAACCAGAUGAAAAUCAUUCCUGCCCGAACAAUUCAUCACUAGCCUAUCAAGUGAAUCAAUUACAAGUGCAGAUGGAGCAAAUAUUUUCUCUGUGCCAAGCUAUGAUGGAAAAACAAGCCCCAUGCUUUAAUGGGGGAGGCCAACAGUGGAUUCCACCUCCACAAGUUCCGCAUCCAGGAUAUUUACACUAUUUGAAUAGCCCUGCUGCAUCUCAGUGGCAGCAACACCAAAUCUUGGUGAACUCUUUGAAUCAAUGUUGCCAAUUGAUUUGCCAUCAACAGAAAGAGCUCUCUGCAUUGAGGCAAGCGUUAGCAAUGCUCCAAGAUGAGAGUAAUAUGUACAAAUGUGGUGGGUAUGGUAACAAUUUGAAUUUUGAAUCUGGGUUGUUUUGGCCUCAGUCAACACCACAGACACUUAACAAUCAAGUACCUCCAGGGAACAGAGCUAACAAUUACUGGGACAAUUUUAGAAGUUAUUCAAGGCAAAACCUUUUGUCUGGAAGAAACAAAAGCAACGAAGGUAGUAUUGCUGAUUCAAGCACAUUGUUAGCACCAACUGGUCUCCCUUUGCCCGUUCAACCUUCCACAACACAAGCUGAAAGUACAUCUAGUAAUUUACAAACAAAUAGAAAGGAUAAUUGUGUUUCUGAUAAUUCAAGUCAUGACAAUUGCAGCCAGAGACAACCUCAGCAAGAAGUUCCAAGUCCUGUUAACAACUGGAAUUUCUCUAGAAGAGCUCAAAGAAGUGGCCAUAAUGCAGAUUCUUCAUCCGUCUUUUCACUUGAACAAUCAAUUUAUAAUGAACUGGAGAUAGUGAUGGCUGAAAGGAACCGUCCUGCUCUCUUACAACUUCUAUCCCAUUUAAAAAUACUUCGAUCAUCAAAAGCUUUUGAUAAAAUAUUUCAGCACCCAUUAGAAGGAGCACAAACCCAGAGGCACAACAGUUGUGAUUUGGACCAAAAUUUGCCAAAUUUUGUUGACAGUUCACAGCAUAGUCAGAUAACAGAUUCUCAGCCUCAACCUCAACCUCAGCCACAACCUCAACCUCAACAUCAACAACAACCACAACCAUCAUUGGCUCAGAUCCUAGCUGGAGCAUCCAAGAUUAUUGACAGAAACAAACAAAAUGACAUUUGCACAUCUGAACUUUUGCAAGAUCUUGUUAUUUAUCUUUCUGAAAGGCUUAAUCCUCAAGUUGUCCAGAAGCUUCAAGCUUCUUUAUCGAAGUUUCACGGAACAAGUUUAAAUGAGGUCGAACAUGUUCUACUGUAUGAUAUUUCAUCAAUUAUAUUGUCACACGAAGAAGAUAUUAAUAUGCAAUUCGAACAUCCUGAACAAGAAGUCGAAGAAGGUGCUGUCGGUGGUAUACCACUUCCUCCUCCUCCUCAGCAUCAACAAAGCCCUCAAGACAAUGUUGAUACAGAGCUUGCUGAAGCUGAUCAACCACAGCAUAAUUCUUCUAGCAAUGCCGAGAAUGGUACCAAAAGGGUUAUAUGUUUUAAUUGCUAAGGUAAAUAUUAUAAUCAUUAUCCAAAAAUUGUGUAGGCAAAAUGAUAAUUUAUAACACUCCUUAAUAUUAUUUAAAGAGUUUAAUUAUUACAGGCUUUUUGGGGAAAGGAUGAAUCUGACUUGCCUACAGUAGAAAUGGACAAUCAAGAACUUCCUCCAAGAGAAGACAACGAAUCAUUACAAAAUUCUUGGU